GUGGGGAAUCUUCCGCAAUGGACGAAAGUCUGACGGAGCAACGCCGCGUGAGUGAUGAAGGUCUUCGGAUUGUAAAGCUCUGUUAAUCGGGACGAAAGAGCCUAGUGUGAAUAAUGCUAGGAAGUGACGGUACCGGAAUAGAAAGCCACGGCUAACUACGUGCCAGCAGCCGCGGUAAUACGUAGGUGGCAAGCGUUGUCCGGAAUUAUUGGGCGUAAAGCGCGCGCAGGCGGAUCUGCCAGUCUGUCUUAAAAGUUCGGGGCUUAACCCCGUGAUGGGAUGGAAACGACAGGUCUAGAGUAUCGGAGAGGAAAGUGGAAUUCCUAGUGUAGCGGUGAAAUGCGUAGAUAUUAGGAAGAACACCAGUGGCGAAGGCGACUUUCUGGACGAAAACUGACGCUGAGGCGCGAAAGCCAGGGGAGCGAACGGGAUUAGAUACCCCUGUAGUCC
rnacentral:rRNA from 1 species